rnacentral:rRNA from 1 species
UACGUAGGGUGCGAGCGUUGUCCGGAAUUAUUGGGCGUAAAGAGCUCGUAGGCGGUCUGUCGCGUCGAUCGUGAAAACUUGGGGCUUAACCCUGAGCUUGCGGUCGAUACGGGCAUGACUGGAGUUCGGCAGGGGAGACUGGAAUUCCUGGUGUAGCGGUGAAAUGCGCAGAUAUCAGGAGGAACACCGGUGGCGAAGGCGGUUCUCUGGGCCUUACCUGACGCUGAGGAGCGAAAGCGUGGGGAGCGAACAGG